GGAAUUUCUACCUGUUCAUCCUGUUGUCUUGAAUAUAGUGAGGAAAAAUGCUUGCAGGAAUAAUACAAAAUGUUUUGCUGUUUGCAGGUGACUAAGAUGUUGAACUCUCCAAAGUGAUUCAGACCAACACUAACAAAUUCCCCAAAGGUUAGAAGUUUUGGUUAAGAGAAAUGGAAAUCUUGCACAAGAGAGACAUGAUAUAUGACCGCUCAUGUCUGCUCAUUUGACUGCUUUGAACUGGAAAGGAAAGAACUGAAUAGAUAGGUGGCCCUGAAGAGUUUCUGAUAUAUAUUUAAAUGAAUGAGUAAUUAAGUCCUUGAAUCUUGUGCCAACUGACUUUCUGCUAAAUCUUAUCUUACUGUUGGCAAAGUGUUUCAUUUCAGCUAACCAUGCAAACGGGCUGUUCUUUUCUUUCCAGAGUACAGCCACUUUAAUUUGUGAUUGCCUAGCAUUUCUUCAGCACCUUCUUGGUCCUUCUGAAUAAAUAUUCCGUGUCGAUUAAUGCUGUAGGCAGAAGUUACUCAUAUCAGUUCUGCUCCUUAGGGGAAAAGGAAACUGUUAGUUGUUUCACAAGUAGAAUGACUCUGACUGCUUAGCUUUUAUUUUAAAUAGCUGUCUUUUCUUUUCCAGUUUGUUUGCUUUCAUUAUGGAAAUGCUUCCUUUUAAGAUUGUGUUUAUGAAUUAUUCAAGCAGAUGAUAUUUACCCUCCUUAGAAGGUUGUUCCUUAAAUUAUUGUUGUUUUGCAAGUGGUAUAUCUGCACAGCAGCCCUAAUAGAGCUUAUACAAAUAUACUGACGUUGUUUGGGCUUUGCCAGCUGUAUAUCUGUGGAAGGUACUGCAGCCUGCAGAAACAGCUUAAGACAUAAAUAAAUGUUUGUUUAAUGACCCCUUGCCUACUACAGCUACUCUGCUAGCUGAAUCCAGCGUGCAAUUAAGGAUGUCUGGCCUACAGUCAUGGAGGUGCUUGCAGAGCUGACAUACGCUAUUUUAUGGAGCAGAUGACCUAAGGAACAGAAGUUUGCAGAUCUUAAAACCUUCUGCACUAUGACUUGGCAGCUGAACCAGAAUGGCAAAUUCAGAUUUCACAGAAACCCCUUGGCUGCGGCGAUCUCAUCACUCCAGAAAGCAUGAUGGCAGCUGUGCAUUCUUAGCAGCAGCAGUUCCCUGGAUUCUGAUUUCCUGGAUGCAUGGAAAGCAGCUCUGUAUAACUUCAAGCCCUUUCUUCUGAGACCCAACAAUGAAUCAUGGCUUCUAUUAAAGUAAAGAGUGUCUGCAUGCAGGGAUCUUUGAAGAGGUGUUCUGAGAUCCACAGCCUACGCAAGAGUGUGUAAGAGACUGCAAUAAAGGAAACUAUAAUGAUUUUCCUGUUCUUGUGUUCUCUCCCAGUUGAGCACCUCAAAGCUGAAUGCUGCUACACACUUGAACCAGCCUUUGCCAUCCUGGCCUUGAAGAGUUUGGGCCAUAGAAGAGGAAAGUACAGUAACUGUCCUGCUUUCUGAUAGCUGGCACUUAUUCUUGAGCUUGUCAACACCAUUUCUUCUAGGCCAAAGAGAAGAUGCCAAAACAGUGCUUGACAAAGGAAAAUAUUGAACUGUGGAGAGAGGAGACCAGCACAGUGGACUCUGCUUUUGCUCUAGAGCUUACGGGUGACUUAUUUCUCUGGCCAGAAAGAAAGAAACUGUAGAUUUCUCUCAUAGCUGACUAAAGUAUUGGCAAAUGGCUGCAUCUUCUAAGCAUGUCUGAGGGGUGAAGUAACCUUAAGUUUCCCUUGCUUUUGUUGUAUAAACAGCUUUAGUAUUGAUAUUAGCAGCUUGCACUUGAGCAAUGUCAUUGUCAUAUGAUGUGUGAGUCAUUCAUAGACAAUCAAAAAAGAGUUACCCAGGUCAUGCUUUUGGCCAUCUUAAGCCAGAGAUUGUAUUUCCCUUGGGCAGGCAACCAAAGGGAAAACAGAGACCAAAAGAGCUGGAAUUCAGUGAACUUGAGUAUUUGCUAUAACCUGGGCUAGGAGAAAAGUGAAGGCACAACAAAGGAGCUGCUAGGUGAAGACAAUCAUGCUCACUCUUAAUAGUGGUGUUGGCACAUUUUCAGACAGUCUUCAGUGUACCAUGUGGUUGGCAUGGCAUUUGUAUUAGAGUGGCAAGUUGCUUCUGUGGAAGUUAUGCACUCCUUUUGCUAUUGAUUACAUGGAAGUGUGGUAUGUAAUACAGCCUAACUUUCAGGUUUAAUACAUGCAAGUUGAGGUUCUGGACCAGAGUAUUACUUGGGGUAAAUCAUUGUGGUUUCUAUUGCUUCAGUUGAAUCUUGUUUGAUUUCUGCCUGAUGUGGAGCUGCUUUUUGUGACACUUCAUUUUGUGAAUAGCAGGUACUUGGAAUAAUGCUAGCUGAGCCUUUUUUCUUUUUCUCCAUUUUUUAUUUCACUGGAGAGCUGAAAUAUUUUUACAGGCUUGUUAGCACUCUUACAAACAGCAAACUACUGUGUAUAAGGAGGCUGUUGUUGUUGCCAGCUCCAUGUUUUUAUGACAAAUCUUGUGAUGUUUUGUUUUUCCUAAGAACCUCAGGUCUUGCAUUUCAUCAGAAUCUCUGUUUUCAUUUAAAAAAAUAAAAAUAAAAAAUUCCAGUUUGAUGUUGGCAUCAAAUGAGAGAAAAACUUGAAAAUGUUUGCAGCUUCAUCAUGAUGGCAAAAAAAAAAACAAACCUAAAUGCAUACAGGAACCCCCAAAUAUAGUAUUUUGCUUUAGAAAAGCAAACAAAAAAUCCCAAACCACCAAGC
ensembl:lncRNA